UUACCUUUUCAUAUCCGGAAAACUAAGUUAAAGGAGAAUUUACGUAGCUCCUAGGUUAUGCUAACACAUCAUAGAGGAAUAUCUAGAGUACUCCAGAAUAUCACGAACAAUUAUAUUUCAUUAAGAUGUUGAUUAGAAGUGCCUCACGAAACCUAUAUUCUCAACUUCCCCCAAAACUUGAGCUUCACAUAAAACAUUAGCAGCAAGACCUCCAACUAUGAACCACAAUUGCUGAUUAGGCACGUCGACCUUCUAAGUUCCCAUACUCGAUCCAAUGAUUUUGCACUUAAUUACUCCCAGAUUCAUUCCCUGAAUCCACGACAGUUGGCUGAGGGUUCUUGUAAUCACUGAUCUGUUCACUGUACCGUUUCUUAUCUGCCUUGGCCAUGGCCUCAAAGGGUUCUUGGAGAGAGAUGGAAUAAGCUGUCAGCUGAGGAGAAAGAACCCUU
rnacentral:misc_RNA from 1 species